rnacentral:rRNA from 1 species
GACGAACGCUGGCGGCGUGCUUAACACAUGCAAGUCGAGCGGUAAGGCCCUUUCGGGGGUACGACGAGCGGCGAACAGGUGAGUAACACGUGGGUGACCUGCCCUCAGCUCUGGGAUAAGCCUGGGAAACCGGGUCUAAUACUGGAUAUGACUCCAUGACGCAUGUUGUGGGGUGGAAAGCCUUGUGCGGCUGAGGAUGGGCCCGCGGCCUAUCAGCUUGUUGGU